rnacentral:rRNA from 1 species
GCAUAUCAAUAAGCGGAGGAAAAGAAACCAACAGGGAUUGCCUCAGUAACGGCGAGUGAAGCGGCAACAGCUCAAAUUUGAAAUCUGGCUCUUUCAGGGUCCGAGUUGUAAUUUGUAGAAGAUGCUUCGGGUGUGGCUCCGGUCUAAGUUCCUUGGAACAGGACGUCAUAGAGGGUGAGAAUCCCGUAUGUGACUGGCUGCCUCCGCCCAUGUGAAGCUCUUUCGACGAGUCGAGUUGUUUGGGAAUGCAGCUCAAAAUGGGUGGUAAAUUUCAUCUAAAGCUAAAUAUUGGCCAGAGACCGAUAGCGCACAAGUAGAGUGAUCGAAAGAUGAAAAGCACUUUGGAAAGAGAGUUAAACAGUACGUGAAAUUGUUGAAAGGGAAGCGCUUGCAAUCAGACUUGCGCGCGGUCGAUCAUCCGAUGUUUUCACCGGUGCACUCGACCGUGCUCAGGCCAGCAUCGGUUUCGGUGGUUGGAUAAAGGCCUUGGGAAUGUGGCUCCUCUCGGGGAGUGUUAUAGCCCUCGGUGCAAUGCAGCCUACCGGGACCGAGGACCGCGCUUCGGCUAGGAUGCUGGCGUAAUGGUUGUAAGCGACCCGUCUUGAAACACGGACCAAGGAGUCUAACAUCUAUGCGAGUGUUUGGGUGUCAAACCCAUACGCGUAAUGAAAGUGAACGGAGGUGAGAACCCUUAAGGGUGCAUCAUCGACCGAUCCUGAUGUCUUCGGAUGGAUUUGAGUAAGAGCAUAGCUGUUGGGACCCGAAAGAUGGUGAACUAUGCCUGAAUAGGGUGAAGCCAGAGGAAACUCUGGUGGAGGCUCGCAGCGGUUCUGACGUGCAAAUCGAUCGUCAAAUUUGGGGUAUAGGGGGCGAAAGACUAAUCGAAACCAUCUAGUAGCUGGGUUCCUGCUGA